rnacentral:antisense_RNA from 1 species
AUAGAGCAACGCUUCUAUACAGUUUUAAGUGAGCCCCGUUAAUCUUUCCCGUCCGCCAAGAUAGAGAAGAUUAUCGGGGUUUUUGCUU